GGGUUGUGAGGUUAAGCGACUAAGCGUACACGGUGGAUGCCCUGGCAGUCAGAGGCGAUGAAGGACGUGCUAAUCUGCGAUAAGCGUCGGUAAGGUGAUAUGAACCGUUAUAACCGGCGAUUUCCGAAUGGGGAAACCCAGUGUGAUUCGUCACACUAUCAUUAACUGAAUCCAUAGGUUAAUGAGGCGAACCGGGGGAACUGAAACAUCUAAGUACCCCGAGGAAAAGAAAUCAACCGAGAUUCCCCCAGUAGCGGCGAGCGAACGGGGAGCAGCCCAGAGCCUGAAUCAGUGUGUGUGUUAGUGGAAGCGUCUGGAAAGGCGCGCGAUACAGGGUGACAGCCCCGUACACAAAAAUGCACAUGCUGUGAGCUCGAUGAGUAGGGCGGGACACGUGGUAUCCUGUCUGAAUAUGGGGGGACCAUCCUCCAAGGCUAAAUACUCCUGACUGACCGAUAGUGAACCAGUACCGUGAGGGAAAGGCGAAAAGAACCCCGGCGAGGGGAGUGAAAAAGAACCUGAAACCGUGUACGUACAAGCAGUGGGAGCACGCUUAGGCGUGUGACUGCGUACCUUUUGUAUAAUGGGUCAGCGACUUAUAUUCUGUAGCAAGGUUAACCGAAUAGGGGAGCCGAAGGGAAACCGAGUCUUAACUGGGCGUUAAGUUGCAGGGUAUAGACCCGAAACCCGGUGAUCUAGCCAUGGGCAGGUUGAAGGUUGGGUAACACUAACUGGAGGACCGAACCGACUAAUGUUGAAAAAUUAGCGGAUGACUUGUGGCUGGGGGUGAAAGGCCAAUCAAACCGGGAGAUAGCUGGUUCUCCCCGAAAGCUAUUUAGGUAGCGCCUCGUGAAUUCAUCUCCGGGGGUAGAGCACUGUUUCGGCAAGGGGGUCAUCCCGACUUACCAACCCGAUGCAAACUGCGAAUACCGGAGAAUGUUAUCACGGGAGACACACGGCGGGUGCUAACGUCCGUCGUGAAGAGGGAAACAACCCAGACCGCCAGCUAAGGUCCCAAAGUCAUGGUUAAGUGGGAAACGAUGUGGGAAGGCCCAGACAGCCAGGAUGUUGGCUUAGAAGCAGCCAUCAUUUAAAGAAAGCGUAAUAGCUCACUGGUCGAGUCGGCCUGCGCGGAAGAUGUAACGGGGCUAAACCAUGCACCGAAGCUGCGGCAGCGACGCUGAUGCGUUGUUGGGUAGGGGAGCGUUCUGUAAGCCUGCGAAGGUGUGCUGUGAGGCAUGCUGGAGGUAUCAGAAGUGCGAAUGCUGACAUAAGUAACGAUAAAGCGGGUGAAAAGCCCGCUCGCCGGAAGACCAAGGGUUCCUGUCCAACGUUAAUCGGGGCAGGGUGAGUCGACCCCUAAGGCGAGGCCGAAAGGCGUAGUCGAUGGGAAACAGGUUAAUAUUCCUGUACUUGGUGUUACUGCGAAGGGGGGACGGAGAAGGCUAUGUUGGCCGGGCGACGGUUGUCCCGGUUUAAGCGUGUAGGCUGGUUUUCCAGGCAAAUCCGGAAAAUCAAGGCUGAGGCGUGAUGACGAGGCACUACGGUGCUGAAGCAACAAAUGCCCUGCUUCCAGGAAAAGCCUCUAAGCAUCAGGUAACAUCAAAUCGUACCCCAAACCGACACAGGUGGUCAGGUAGAGAAUACCAAGGCGCUUGAGAGAACUCGGGUGAAGGAACUAGGCAAAAUGGUGCCGUAACUUCGGGAGAAGGCACGCUGAUAUGUAGGUGAAGUCCCUCGCGGAUGGAGCUGAAAUCAGUCGAAGAUACCAGCUGGCUGCAACUGUUUAUUAAAAACACAGCACUGUGCAAACACGAAAGUGGACGUAUACGGUGUGACGCCUGCCCGGUGCCGGAAGGUUAAUUGAUGGGGUCAGCGCAAGCGAAGCUCUUGAUCGAAGCCCCGGUAAACGGCGGCCGUAACUAUAACGGUCCUAAGGUAGCGAAAUUCCUUGUCGGGUAAGUUCCGACCUGCACGAAUGGCGUAAUGAUGGCCAGGCUGUCUCCACCCGAGACUCAGUGAAAUUGAACUCGCUGUGAAGAUGCAGUGUACCCGCGGCAAGACGGAAAGACCCCGUGAACCUUUACUAUAGCUUGACACUGAACAUUGAGCCUUGAUGUGUAGGAUAGGUGGGAGGCUUUGAAGUGUGGACGCCAGUCUGCAUGGAGCCGACCUUGAAAUACCACCCUUUAAUGUUUGAUGUUCUAACGUUGACCCGUGAUCCGGGUUGCGGACAGUGUCUGGUGGGUAGUUUGACUGGGGCGGUCUCCUCCUAAAGAGUAACGGAGGAGCACGAAGGUUGGCUAAUCCUGGUCGGACAUCAGGAGGUUAGUGCAAUGGCAUAAGCCAGCUUGACUGCGAGCGUGACGGCGCGAGCAGGUGCGAAAGCAGGUCAUAGUGAUCCGGUGGUUCUGAAUGGAAGGGCCAUCGCUCAACGGAUAAAAGGUACUCCGGGGAUAACAGGCUGAUACCGCCCAAGAGUUCAUAUCGACGGCGGUGUUUGGCACCUCGAUGUCGGCUCAUCACAUCCUGGGGCUGAAGUAGGUCCCAAGGGUAUGGCUGUUCGCCAUUUAAAGUGGUACGCGAGCUGGGUUUAGAACGUCGUGAGACAGUUCGGUCCCUAUCUGCCGUGGGCGCUGGAGAACUGAGGGGGGCUGCUCCUAGUACGAGAGGACCGGAGUGGACGCAUCACUGGUGUUCGGGUUGUCAUGCCAAUGGCACUGCCCGGUAGCUAAAUGCGGAAGAGAUAAGUGCUGAAAGCAUCUAAGCACGAAACUUGCCCCGAGAUGAGUUCUCCCUGACCCUUUAAGGGUCCUGAAGGAACGUUGAAGACGACGACGUUGAUAGGCCGGGUGUGUAAGCGCAGCGAUGCGUGGAGC
rnacentral:rRNA from 1 species